CCCGCUGAACUUAAGCAUAUCAAUAAGCGGAGGAAAAGAAACUAACAAGGAUUCCCCUAGUAACUGCGAGUGAAGCGGGAAGAGCUCAAAUUUAAAAUCUGGCGUGCCUCUGGUCGUCCGAGUUGUAGUCUGGAGAAGCGUUUUCCGUGUUGGACCGUGUACAAGUCUCUUGGAACAGGGCGUCAUAGAGGGUGAGAAUCCCGUCUUUGACACGGACUACCAAUGCUUUGUGAUGCGCUCUCAAAGAGUCGAGUUGUUUGGGAAUGCAGCUCAAAAUGGGUGGUAAAUUCCAUCUAAAGCUAAAUAUUGGCGAGAGACCGAUAGCGAACAAGUACCGUGAGGGAAAGAUGAAAAGCACUUUGGAAAGAGAGUUAAACAGUACGUGAAAUUGUUGAAAGGGAAACGUUUGAAGUCAGUCGCGUCGGCCGAGACUCAACCUUGCUCUUCGCUCGGUGCACUUCUCGGUCGACGGGUCAGCAUCAAUUUCGACCGCCGGACAAAGGUCAGGGGAAUGUGGCAUCCUUCGGGAUGUGUUAUAGCCCUUGAUUCGCAUACGGCGAUUGGGAUUGAGGAACUCGGCGCUUCACGCGUCCAGGAUGCUGGCAUAACGGCUUUAAGCGACCCGUCUUGAAACACGG
rnacentral:rRNA from 1 species